UACGAAGGGGGCUAGCGUUGCUCGGAAUCACUGGGCGUAAAGCGCACGUAGGCGGAUUGUUAAGUCAGGGGUGAAAUCCUGGAGCUCAACUCCAGAACUGCCUUUUGAUACUGGCGAUCUCGAGUCCGGGAGAGGUGAGUGGAACUGCGAGUGUAGAGGUGAAAUUCGUAGAUAUUCGCAAGAACACCAGUGGCGAAGGCGGCUCACUGGCCCGGUACUGACGCUGAGGUGCGAAAGCGUGGGGAGCAAACAGG
rnacentral:rRNA from 1 species